UCUUCUUCGACAUUGUUGUGAUGAGAUGAGAGUCUCCAAAGUUCGUCGCUGAUCUUGAGCCAUGUGGAGCCACAAUUCACAGAUCUGGAGCAACUGCUUAUUGAUUUGGAUCCACCAUUUGCCGAUCUGAAGCAAUCAUUCAUCGUUUUUAUACCAUGAUUCGCUGAUCUCAACAAAUUUCAAUGAGCAUGGAUAGUGAAGUGUCCAGUUCUUGUAAAAAAGUAAAGGAGAAAAGUUGAUCCGUCAAAACCAAAGCAAUUGUGGAGCCCAUGAGAAGUGGAAUGUCUUAUUAAUGCCUUGAUGCACAUUGUCAACAAUAGAAUGAAACAGGACAAUGCCUUCAAGGCCAACUACCUUAUGAAAUUAGAGGAGAAAUUGUUGGAGAUGCUACCCGAGACAAACCUUCGUGGCACUCCCCACAUCGAAUCAAAGAUAAAGAUAUGGAAGAAGCACUACAACUGUGUAGCAGGAAUGCUUGGUACUAGUGGUUUUGGAUGGAA